GGUCAGGAGUUAAUUUGUCUUGAAAAGUAUUUAUCUUUUCGUCAUUGCUGUUAGGGUUUAGAUGUUUUUUGUUUAGUCUUCUGAGGAAUGUAGUGGUAGUAUAGGUUCCAAGGUGGAGGAUUCUUUGGAAUUCACUCUCACCCUUGAAACUGGAAGAUCUUAGAUUCUAUAAAGGGGGGGGGGGGUGAGAGAUUGUGUGCACAGAAGGAGCAUGGGCUCAGACUAUUCUCUGAAUGAUAUUGUGACAAGUCUGUCCGAAGGUAAGUGGCUGGUUAGGUGUGGGAAAGAGAUAGAGUGAUAGCCCCCGCUUUCGUCAGUUGACUUGGCGGUUUGAGGUAGGCUGAUCAAGGGCUUGCACUGGCCGGCGCAUAUCGACCUGUCACAUGUUCCAGUCGAGUCUCCGAGCUCAAUCUGUGUGUAAAAAUUAUGUGUUGGUAGAAAGUUUAAUGACUCAGCUCAGUUGGUAUGCUAUGCUGUCUAUCUUUUAGACUAUGUGUUUGUAGAGCAAUAUUAUGUAUGUAUUAUGUUACAGGGCUAGGAAAAGGUUAAAGGUUUUUGGCGUGAGGGUUAAAAUCACUGUCCAAAACCUUUGUAGGAACUCUUUUCCAACCUUUUGGAGGGAGCUAGACUAGAAAAAAAAAGAAAAAAGAAAAAAAAAAAUUGGGGGUGUUCGGGCUUCCUGAAGGUAAUACCCGGGUAUUAGGUUAUGGGGCUAGGGUAAGGUUUAAGGCUUUUGGCGUAUGGGUUAAAAUCACUGUCCAGAACCUU